UCUUAGGGAUGAACAAAGAAAGUGGUUUCUUGAGAUGGAAUAUGCUCUUGCUGAAGAUGUUGUGAA
rnacentral:pre_miRNA from 1 species